rnacentral:rRNA from 1 species
AGUGAACGCUGGCGGUAGGCCUAACACAUGCAAGUCGAACGGCAGCACGGUAAGAGCUUGCUCUUACGGGUGGCGAGUGGCGGACGGGUGAGGAAUACAUCGGAAUCUACUUUUUCGUGGGGGAUAACGUAGGGAAACUUACGCUAAUACCGCAUACGACCUACGGUUGAAAGCAGGGGAUCUUCGGACCUUGCGCGAUUGAAUGAGCCGAUGUCGGAUUAGCUAGUUGGCGGGGUAAAGGCCCACCAAGGCGACGAUCCGUAGCUGGUCUGAGAGGAGGAUCAGCCACACUGGAACUGAGACACGGACCAGGCUCCUACGGGAGGCAGCAGUGGGGAAUAUUGGACAAUGGGCGCAAGCCUGAUACAGCCAUACCGCGUGGGUGAAGAAGGCCUUCGGGUUGUAAAGCCCUUUUGUUGGGAAAGAAAAGCAGCAGGUUAAUACCACGCUGUUCUGACGGUACCCAAAGAAUAAGCACCGGCUAACUUCGUG